AUCUGUUCUCGGCCUUUUGGCUAAGAUCAAGGGCAAUAUCUGCUCUUACCUGCUUAAUAUCAGAUAUGCCUUCUGUCAAGGACAGCAUCAUGAGUGGAGUUUUGGAGCUGGGAGACAGACUAGGAGCUUGCUCCAUCCACUCUCUGCAUGGAUCUGGAAUAGCAGUGCCUCCAGGAACAGUGGAUCCCCU
rnacentral:snRNA from 1 species